rnacentral:lncRNA from 1 species
AGAAAACAUGGCUUGUUGGAAACUCAGAAGACUUGCCUGCUUAGCGGUGCUAAAAAACCACGCCUGAGCCCACUGUCGGUUUACAUCUGAGACUUACAGGGAAGACCUGGGUCUCACCUGAGGCCCCAUCUGUUCUUGAGGCAACACCUGGGUUCUUUUCAACACUCAAUAGACAGGAAUGUCUCAAGAUUCAAGGCAUCCUGUGCUGUAAAGGAAACAAGAAAACGAAGCAAGAGCUCACACACAGAGUGCUUUUACAAACUUUGGGAUUUAGUGCAUUUUUGAGGUCUAUUUAUCCCAGAACAGAAUGCUCAGGGACUGUGGAUAAUGCUAAUGGAGAGAAUAGAAUAGUAUGAAGAGCUUGGGUCAUGAAAAGGAUCAUGAAAAGGAGGGUUUGAAGACUUUCAGAAAUAUUUUCCUAUUACUCAUCUUUUAAACUGGAUCCUGGGAACCUAGACCAUGGUAUAUGGAGCCUUGGGAAGUCUUGAACAUCAUGGUAUGACCAGUGGACCUUUCUACUGGGAUCUAAGACUGAGUCCAUUCAGUGUUUUGAGUUGAACUCUUUGCAACUAGUUGAAAGGGUUUUGAGACUGAGAUGGGCAAAUACUAGCCCAAAGAGACAAAUCAGGGCCUGGCUCCCUUACACACUGCUCCUUUUCUUUAAUUUGUUUUGCCCUUCUCUCUCUCUCCUCCUCAUGUCUCCUCUCUUCCUAUUCUAGUGCAUAUUUUUUUGUUACUUCUCUUUUUCACUUUUUCACAUCUUGCCUCAAACAGGGCAUUUCUUGGGCAAAGUUUGACUCCAGUGGUUGACUUCAGAUCUAAGCAACUUUCUAGAGUUUGUUCUAGGGAAGAGCAGAACAGACUAACAUGGGGAAGAGGAGCUGGACUACAAGCUGUAGGUGGAGGGGGAGAAGUAAGAGGGAAGAGGACAUGAAAUGUGAGGUGCGAAGGUGCCAUAUGCAUCCUAUCCUUGAACCUCAUGGGCUUCAUCCCAUAGGAGAUGAUUUGGGUUGACUCUGGUUGGAAGAUGAGAUUGCCUACCCAACAUUCCUCCCA